AUUGAACGCUGGCGGAAUGCUUUACACAUGCAAGUCGAACGGUAGAGGGGGCAACCCCUCGAGAGUGGCGAACGGGUGAGUAAUAUAUCGGAACGUGCCCAGUCGUGGGGGAUAACGUAGCGAAAGUUACGCUAAUACCGCAUACGAUCUAAGGAUGCAAGCGGGGGAUCGCAAGACCUCGCGCGAUUGGAGCGGCCGAUAUCAGAUUAGGUUGUUGGUGAGGUAAAAGCUCACCAAGCCUGCGAUCUGUAGCUGGUCUGAGAGGACGACUAGCCACACUGGAACUGAGACACGGUCCAGACUCCUACGGGAGGCAGCAGUGGGGAAUUUUGGACAAUGGACGCAAGUCUGAUCCAGCAAUGCCGCGUGCAGGACGAAGGCCUUCGGGUUGUAAACUGCUUUUGUACGGAACGAAACGGUGAGCUCUAAUACAGUUUGCUAAUGACGGUACCGUAAGAGUAAGCACCGGCUAACUACGUGCCAGCCGCCGCGGUAA
rnacentral:rRNA from 1 species